GCCUGUCUAGCUUAGGAAGGGCUGUUGUAGAGCACCUGCCUCGCUCGCAGGUGGUCCUUGGUUCAAUCCCCGGUGUUGCCAGGUAGGGCU